rnacentral:tRNA from 1 species
GGAGCUGUGGCUCAGUGGUAGAGCAUUUGUUUGGCAUGCAAUAGGUCACAAGUUCAAUUCCCUGCAACUUCA